rnacentral:rRNA from 1 species
UAGAGUUUGAUCAUGGCUCAGAUUGAACGCUGGCGGCAGGCCUAACACAUGCAAGUCGAGCGGUAACAGGAAUUAGCUUGCUAAUUCGCUGACGAGCGGCGGACGGGUGAGUAAUGCCUGGGAAUAUGCCUUGAUGUGGGGGAUAACUAUUGGAAACGAUAGCUAAUACCGCAUAAUGUCUUCGGACCAAAGAGGGGGAUCUUCGGACCUCUCGCGUCAAGAUUAGCCCAGGUGAGAUUAGCUAGUUGGUGGGGUAAGAGCUCACCAAGGCGACGAUCUCUAGCUGGUCUGAGAGGAUGAUCAGCCACACUGGAACUGAGACACGGUCCAGACUCCUACGGGAGGCAGCAGUGGGGAAUAUUGCACAAUGGGCGAAAGCCUGAUGCAGCCAUGCCGCGUGUAUGAAGAAGGCCUUCGGGUUGUAAAGUACUUUCAGUCGUGAGGAAGGGUGUGUAGUUAAUAGCUGCAUAUCUUGACGUUAGCGACAGAAGAAGCACCGGCUAACUCCGUGCCAGCAGCCGCGGUAAUACGGAGGGUGCGAGCGUUAAUCGGAAUUACUGGUCGUAAAGCGCAUGCAGGUGGUUCAUUAAGUCAGAUGUGAAAGCCCGGGGCUCAACCUCGGAACCGCAUUUGAAACUGGUGAACUAGAGUGCUGUAGAGGGGGGUAGAAUUUCA